GCGGGUGUAGUUCAACGGUAGAACCUUAGCCUUCCAAGCUAAUGAUGUGGGUUCGAUUCCCAUCACCCGCUCCA
rnacentral:tRNA from 2 species